CACGUAGGGCGCAAGCGUUGUCCGGAAUUAUUGGGCGUAAAGAGCUCGUAGGCGGUCUGUUGCGUCCGCUGUGAAAACUCGGGGCUUAACCCCGAGCCUGCAGUGGAUACGGGCAGACUAGAGGUAGGUAGGGGGAGAAUGGAAUUCCCGGUGUAGCGGUGAAAAUGCGCAGAUAUCGGGGAGGAACACCGGUGGCGAAGGCGGUUCU
rnacentral:rRNA from 1 species